rnacentral:rRNA from 1 species
UACGGAGGGGGCUAGCGUUGUUCGGAAUUACUGGGCGUAAAGCGCACGUAGGCGGCUUGGUAAGUUAGAGGUGAAAGCCUGGAGCUCAACUCCAGAAUUGCCUUUAAGACUGCCGAGCUAGCAGGUGAGAGAGGUGAGUGGAAUUCCGAGUGUAGAGGUGAAAUGCGUAGAUAUCCGGAGGAAUACCAAAGGCGAAGGCAGUGUCCUGGCUGGCAUCUGACGCUGAGGCGCGAAAGCUAGGGGAGCGAACAGG